rnacentral:rRNA from 1 species
UUCGUAGGCGGUGCGGCAAGUCGGAAGUGAAAUCUCCGGGCUUAACUCGGAGGCUGCUCCCGAAACUGCCGUGCUGGAGUGCGGGAGAGGCGAGUGGAAUUGCAGGUGUAGCGGUGAAAUGCGUAGAUAUCUGCAGGAACACCCGUGGCGAAGGCGGCUCGCUGGACCGCAACUGACGCUGAGGAACGAAAGCUAGGGGAGCAAACAGGAUUAGAUACCCUGGUAGUCCUAGCCCUAAACGAUCAGGACUUGGGGUGGCCCGCGUUGGCGGGUCGUCCCGUAGCUAACGCGUUAAGUCCUGCGCCUGGGGAGUACGGCCGCAAGGCUGAA